rnacentral:tRNA from 2 species
GCGCUGAUGGCGGAAUUGGUAGACGCACUAGCUUCAGGUGCUAGCGCUGCAAGGCGUGGAGGUUCGAGUCCUCUUCAGCGCACCA